AUUCAGUGGAAUGAAAUUCAAUGGAAAUCUAGAGAGAGAAACUGGAGAGAGAGAGAGAGAGGGAUAAGGGUUGGUUCCGUUGCUACCACAGCCUCUGCUGCUUUGACUGGCUAGAGGAACCUUGGUUCCCCACAGAUGUGCCCAAAGCAAGAUUGUUGUACCUAUUGUAAGAACAAAUCAAAUGCCAUCCCUAAAAAUGAAGAGCAAAGUAAACGGGAGCUGUUUAACAGAAAGAACGGAUCUUCAUGUAUGUCAGAAAUCAAAAUUAAUUUGCAAAAACACAUGCUCUAAAACCAUGAUUUCUUCUCAAAAGGCAGAAAUAGACACUACUAUUCGAAAUUGCCUAGAUGUUUCCUCAAGGACGAUGCCCAAAGACAUUGCAAGUGAUCAAUCCAUUAACAACAAAGAAUUUCUGGAUAAUGAAAACUCUGAAUCGCAGCACCAAUUUUCUGUUUAUUCCUCUGCUAUGGGAAAAAUGGAACUAACCAACCCCUGUACAGCAAACUUAGAAACAAUUUUUUCUCCUGCUUUUGAGCCCAUUGAAGUCCAUUCACAACGUUAUACUGAUAAAGAUGCAGGACGAAUUGAGGAUACUAAUAUGCCAGGAGUGGGAGCUGAUGAAGGAAGAAGCAUAUGUGGCUAUGAAACAUGUGAUGUAUCAGACUUCUACAUUUCUGACAUGAUCAUUACAAGCUUACCCUUUGGUGGAAAUGCCUUUGACGAUGGCAUCAGUGAAACCAACUGCCUAUCUGAUUAUGGAUCUGCUGAGCCAUCAAUGUUUACUGCAUCUGAACAGUACAUGAUCCUGCCUGCUCUUGAAGAUGAUUUUAAAGUUGACAGUACUUCUGAUAUCAUAACAUAUGAGGAAGCCAUGAUGGUUCGAGAAAGUGCUAGCUUAUAUUCAGCUAUGGCUCAGAUAAAAUCCUGCAACCAGGUGUCUGAUGUUAAAAAUGACUCAGAUAAGACAGAGUGCUUUGAUCCACAGUCAUUUAUCAAGAAUUUACCAGAACUAUCUGAAGUAGAAUUAAAUGGACAGCCCACCCUAACUCCUAAGCAAUCUCCAAGAAGAAAGUCAGUAACCCUGGUGCUUGACUUAGAUGAGACACUUGUUCAUUCUACACUGGAACAUUGUGAUGAUGCGGAUUUCACUUUUACUGUUUUCUUCAGUAUGAAAGAGUACACAGUAUAUGUAAAACAGAGGCCUUACCUUCACACAUUCUUGGAGAGAGUAUCAGAGAUGUUUGAAGUUAUUAUUUUCACUGCCAGCCAAAGUAUAUAUGCAAAACAACUACUGGAUAUAUUGGAUCCUGAUGGAAGAUUUAUUUCUCGCCGUGUAUAUCGAGAAUCAUGCCUUUUUUCAGAUGGAAAUUACACAAAAGAUCUUACUAUAUUAGGUGUUGAUCUCGCAAAAGUUGUCAUAAUUGAUAAUUCACCUCAGGUUUUCCGGUUGCAAGUGAAUAAUGGUAUUCCUAUAAAGAGUUGGUUUGAUGAUCCAUUAGACUCUGCACUGAUGUCAUUACUUCCCUUUCUAGAGAGCUUGGCUGAUGCUGAUGAUGUCCGUCCUAUCAUUGCAAAGAGAUAUGGGCCAUAGUUCAUAUCCUGAUUUUUAAAACUGUCAGAAAAGUAAGAGAACAGAAGUAUCGUAUUACGUAUACAUGCUAGAGGAGCCAAGGUCAACAUUCAUAAGAAACUAAUUAUCAUUUUCUCAUGUAUGUGUUACAUUUUCUGCCUUCCACUUCAUCUUCGGACAUUUCUGGAUGAUAUUUUUUGGAAAUGGAUGACUUGUACUUUGGUGAUUAGGUUUUGUUUGUAUAUUUAUACAAUGGAAGUGCAACGUGACACUGUUUCUGACAUGAAAACCAUGCUGCAACUGAAAAAUACGAAUGUUUGAGCCUAUGAACAUGGGAUUUACAGUGGUAAAGCUUAAACAUAUUUCCAUCGUUUGUGGAAUAGAUCCACAUGCCCGUUUUCAUCACCCUUGUAAUCAUAAAAUAUUUUGGCCAUCUAUCAGGUCUGUGUUGGAAGUCUUCAUCCCUAAUAAUUUCAAUUGAGUGGUCAAGAUCUAAGAGGUUUGUGAAGAAAAUUUUAUUAGAUUAUCCCUCUAAUGGCUGUUUGAUAGGUAUGUAAAUUUUGAUUACAUAGUCUAGGAUUUUUGCAGGUAUUUGUUAGUUACCUUGCAAUCAUAUUUUGCGUAUGUUUCAUCAUCAUUACCUGAAGCAAGAUGGUGCAAAAGUUGUAAAAUCCCACGUGAAAUGUUAAUUCAUUGUUGGUUCAUUUUUUCUUUUCCUGUUCUUCAUUUCGUGGCCAUUUGUUAUUUUGUCUUUUACAAUUGGCUACGAUUAUGUUGAGAAAUAGAAAUCGUUCAC